rnacentral:rRNA from 1 species
UGGGGAAUAUUGCGCAAUGGGCGAAAGCCUGACGCAGCAACGCCGCGUGAGUGAUGAAGGCCUUCGGGUCGUAAAGCUCUGUCGGAGGGAACGAAUGCUCCUGAAGUUAACAGCCUCAGGAGGUGACGGUACCCUCAAAGGAAGCACCGGCUAACUCUGUGCCAGCAGCCGCGGUAAUACAGAGGGUGCAAGCGUUGUUCGGAAUCAUUGGGCGUAAAGCGUGCGCAGGCGGUUGUAUAAGUCAGAUGUGAAAUCCCCGGGCUCAACCUGGGAAUUGCAUUUGAGACUGCACGGCUAGAGUGUGUCAGAGGGGGGUAGAAUUCCACGUGUAGCAGUGAAAUGCGUAGAUAUGUGGAGGAAUACCGAUGGCGAAGGCAGCCCCCUGGGAUAACACUGACGCUCAUGCACGAAAGCGUGGGGAGCAAACAGGAUUAGAUACCCAGGUAGUCCCUGAGCGGGCUGGCAAGGCGCAU